ensembl:snoRNA
AGCACUUGUGUCUGCUUUUGUCUAACUUGUGAACUAAAACUUAGGUACAAAAAAUAAAUCCUCUUUUCCAACCCAGAACUGAUUGUUCAGUAUGAGUUUUGAUGCAUAUAGGAGGAAUUUA